rnacentral:tRNA from 1 species
UGGGGGCUCGUCUAAUGGCAGGACGGCUGACUCUGGAUCAGCUAGUAGAGGUUCGAAUCCUUUGCCCCCAGCAA